GUCUACGGCCAUGCCACCUAAAACAUGCCUGAUGUCUGAUCUUGGAAGCUAAGCAGGGUCAGGCCUCGUUAGUACUUGGAUGGGAGACCACACAGAAAGAUCAGGUGCUAUGAGCA
rnacentral:rRNA from 1 species